ensembl:miRNA
UCACCUGGGUGUCUUGUUAAAGAGGAGUCCAAUUCAAUGGAGCCCGAGAAUCUGCAUUUCUAACAAGCUCCUGGGUGAUCCUAA